rnacentral:rRNA from 1 species
GUGUCAGCAGCCGCGGUAAUACGUAGGGGGCAAGCGUUGUCCGGAUUUAUUGGGCGUAAAGAGCGUGUAGGCGGCCAGAUAGGUCGGUUGUGAAAACUGGAGGCUCAACCUCCAGACGUCGACCGAAACCCUCUGGCUAGAGUCCGGAAGAGGAGAGUGGAAUUCCUGGUGUAGCGGUGAAAUGCGCAGAUAUCAGGAGGAACACCCGUGGCGAAAGCGGCUCUCUGGGACGGUACUGACGCUGAGACGCGAAAGCGUGGGGAGCGAACAGGAUUAGAUACCCUAGUAGUCC